rnacentral:tRNA from 1 species
UGAAUUAUAAUGUAUGACGCAUGGAAAAUUUUGAAUUUUCAAGUAAUAGUUUAAUUCUAUUUAAUUCAA